GUCUACAGUCAUGCCAUCCUGAACAAAUAUGAUCCCAUCUGAUCUUGGAAGCUAAGCAGGGUCGGGCCUGGUUAGUACUUGGAUGGGACACCACCUAGGAAGACCAGGUGCUGUAGGUG
rnacentral:rRNA from 1 species